UUAUUUAGCAUAUCCAUCAAGGUAAUAUGGUAAAGAACUAAACAAACUGGUUUCUUCCAGAUGUUUUGGACCUCAAUUUAUACUAGUUCCAGCCAAUAUGCCCAGUGAAGAGGUGAAUCCAUUUAUCUUAAAAUAACAGCAAUAUUGCAAAUCAAGGUUUUAUUGUUUUUAUCCCUGUAUAACACACUGGGACUGUAAGUAGAGAGAUGGUCAGAGAAUAGAACCGUUCUAACACAACAACAAAGUUUUUUGAGUUAGAUGUUUAUUAUGAUACAUGGAAAACACAUUGUGUGUCAAUGAGAAACUGCACUUUGGUCAAGGAACCAGGCUUACUGUUCUAGAAAAGGGACACUUUAUCACCCCCCCAACUGUGACUAUAUUUUCUCCAUCCAAGAGAGAACUGGGAAAAAAGCAGAAAGCUACAAUUGUAUGUUUGGCCACUGAUUUCUAUCCAGAUCAUGUCAUUCUUACAUGGUCCCUAAACAACAAUCCUAUAACAGAGGGAAUAAAGACAGAGGAGCCCAAAUAUGAAAAUAAGAAAUAUUCACUGAUCAGCCGUUUAAGAAUUACUAAGAACCAGUGGCAGAAUUCAAAAAACAACUUCAAGUGCAAAGUCGAUUUCUACAAUUCUUCUACAAGCACAAGUUAUGAAGCUUCAAUAACUGGAGAAGAAUGUGGUAGCAACUCCUCCACCAAUGAUUCGUAUCUUAGGCAAGCCAAUCUUGGAAAACUGGUGUAUAUUCUUCUCAUUUUCAAGAGUGCCUUGUAUGGGGCAUUUAUAAUGCACUUGAAACUAAGAAAGAAAGUCUUGUGACAGUUGAUGCAAUAGAAGCCUUUUGCCUGGGGACAUCAUGUCUGAGUUGAAUGAAUGCUGGAGAGAGAAGAAGAAUGAUUCUUGCCUUCAAAGUCUGGAGUAGCAUUCCGAUUCUUUUUUUAAAAAAAUAAA